GCCGAGAUAGCUCAGUCGGUAGAGCAGCUGAUUCGUAAUCAGCAGGUCGUGGGUUCAAGUCCCAUUCUCGGCU
rnacentral:tRNA from 1 species